rnacentral:rRNA from 1 species
GUGCCAGCCGCCGCGGUAAUACGGAGGAUCCGAGCGUUAUCCGGAUUUAUUGGGUUUAAAGGGUGCGCAGGCGGCUUUUUAAGUCAGCGGUAAAAUCGUGAGGCUCAACCUCAUCGUGCCGUUGAUACUGGAGAGCUUGAUUGUAUUCGAGGUUGGCGGAAUUCGCCGUGUAGCGGUGAAAUGCAUAGAUAUGGCGAAGAACUCCGAUUGCGUAGGCAGCUGACCAGGCUACAAAUGACGCUCAUGCACGAAGGUCGGGGAUCGAACAGGAUUAGAUACCCUGGUAGUCCGCACAGUAAACGAUGAAUACUUGUUUUUGGCGAUAUACAGUCAGAGACAAAGCGAAAGUGAUAAGUAUUCCACCUGGGGAGUACGCCGGCAACGGUGAAACUCAAAGGAAUUGACGGGGGCCCGCACAAGCGGAGGAACAUGUGGUUUAAUUCGAUGCUACGCGAGGAACCUUACCCGGGCUUGAAAGUUAUCGACGGAGGCUGAAAGGCCUCUUCCCUUCGGGGCGAGAAACUAGGUGCUGCAUGGUUGUCGUCAGCUCGUGCCGUGAGGUGUCGGCUUAAGUGCCAUAACGAGCGCAACCCUUUUCUCCAGUUACCAUCAUUAAGUUGGGGACUCUGGAGACACUGCCAUCGCAAGAUGUGAGGAAGGAUGGGAUGACGUCAAAUCAGCACGGCCCUUACGUCCGGGGCGACACACGUGUUACAAUGGGAAGGACAGCGAGGAACGAUGCGGCGACGCAAAGGGAAUCUUCAAACCUUCUCCCAGUUCGGAUUGGAGUCUGCAACCCGACUCCAUGAAGCUGGAUUCGCUAGUAAUCGCGCAUCAGCCAUGGCGCGGUGAAUACGUUCCCGGGCCUUGUACACACCGCCCGU